rnacentral:rRNA from 1 species
CGAGCACGCGCGUGUGGCAUAUCAAUAAGCGGAGGAAAAGAAACUAACAAGGAUUCCCUUAGUAACGGCGAGUGAAGCGGGAAGAGCUCAAAUUUGAAAUCUUCAAGGUUUUACCUCGACGAAUUGUAGUUUAAAGAAGUGUUUUCUGUUGAAGUUUUGGUAGAAGUUCUUUGGAAUAGGACAUCAUAGAGGGUGAGAAUCCCGUAUUUGACCAUUAUUUUCAGCUGUGUGAUACACUUUCAAAGAGUCGGAUUGUUUGGGAAUGCAGUCCAAAAUGGGUGGUAAAUUUCAUCUAAAGCUAAAUAUUGGCGAGAGACCGAUAGCGAACAAGUACCGUGAGGGAAAGAUGAAAAGAACUUUGAAAAGAGAGUUAAACAGUACGUGAAAUUGUCAAAAGGGAAGCGUUUGACACCAGUGUUGUUUUCUCGAAAAUCAAUUAAAAAUGGUGGGAUGUUGUGUUGUAUUGACUUUAUCAGCUUUCUGCACUUUUUUUCCUAUCUUUUUUAAUGCACUUUUCGUUUAACAAGUCAACAUCAGUUUCUUUUGUUGUAAAAGAGUCAUUGAGGAAGGUGGCUUUCUUUUCGGAGAAAGUGUUUAUAGCCUUGUGACUUCUACAAUCGGAGAGAUUGAGGUCUGCAGCGUAGAUCCUUCGGGGUUAGAUACGUUUGUGCUAAGUUAUAGCUUUUCAUAGACAACUUGUUGACUAUGUUUAGUCUUGUAGCUUACUCGCUGACGCUAUUUUACCUACGCUUAGGAUGUUGAGUAGCGACAUACGCAC